CCUACGGGAGGCAGCAGUGGGGAAUAUUGGGCAAUGGAGGAAACUCUGACCCAGCAACGCCGCGUGAAUGAUGAAGGUCUUCGGAUUGUAAAGUUCUUUUCUAAGGGAAGAAGAAAGUGACGGUACCUUAGUAAUAAGCCUCGGCUAACUACGUGCCAGCAGCCGCCGUAAUCCGUAGGAGGCGAGCGUUCUCCGGAAUGACUGGGCGUAAAGGGUGCGUAGGUGGUUUGGCACGUUAGUAGCGUAACUCCAAGGCUCAACCUUGGAACGACUACUAAAACUGGUGGACUUGAGUGCAGGAGGGGAAAGCGGAAUGCCUAGUGUAGCGGUGGAAUGCGUAGAUAUUAGGAGGAACACCAGUGGCGAAGGCGGGUUGCUGGACUGUAACUGACACUGAGGCACGAAAGCGUGGGGAGCAAACAGGAUUAGAUACCCUGGUAGUC
rnacentral:rRNA from 1 species